rnacentral:rRNA from 1 species
UGCCAGCCGCCGCGGUAAUACGUAAGGGGCAAGCGUUACCCGGAAUUAUUGGGCGUAAAGCGUCCGCAGGCGGAUAGGCAAGUAGGUUAUUAAAUACCGGUGCUCAACAUCGGUGCUGUAAUCUAAACUGCUUAUCUAGAGGAUGGGAGAGGUGUGUAGAAUUCUACAAGUAGGGGUAAAUCCGUAGAUAUGUAGAGGAAUACCAAAAGCGAAGGCAGCACACUGGACCAUUCCUGACGCUCAGGGACGAAAGCGUAGGUAGCAAAACGGAUUAGAUA